GCAAUGGGUCCUCUUCAGUCUCGGUCCCACCCUUCUUUGAACGCACCAAAGCACGCAACACUCGCGUCAAGCUCGACCUCUCCCUGCCACCGGACCCACUCAGUGCAUGCAAUGAAGAUGCCAAGUCCGCACCUCAACUCAUAGAGAAGGUCUUCAAAUUCUCCGAAGCUGCUAUCGACAAAAUUAAGUCAAAAGCUAACGCAAACCCUCCAUCCGACGGUUCAAAGCCAUUCUCCACCUUUCAAUCACUCGCAGCCCAUAUUUGGCGUCAAGUAUGCCAUGCGCGUGA
rnacentral:misc_RNA from 1 species